GAGAUGAAUUCAGACCUGGUGAUCAUUGAAAACCUGGAUGAACUGAAUUAUCUUUUUUCACAAUCAAAAGGCCAUUACUACUUUCUUGGUCUCAUAUGCUCUGGCAGUGAGGAGAAGUGGAAGUGGAUUAACAACAUGGAACUCAACACAGACAUCUUUAAGGUUGAAGGAAAAUAUUCUGACUAUUGCUGUGCUGUUGUUGGACGUGACAGAAAGGUAGAAAGUGCAUCUUGCAGUGGAUCCUCAACCACACGAUAUAUGUGUGAGAAAGCUGCAAAUAUCUUAGAAGAGCAGAAGGAGAACUAAAAUCAAAAGGUCCAGACAAGCAUGUCAUCUCCCACUUCCUGUAGGAAUGGCAGGCAGGAUUUGUCUCCUUUAUCUUUAACUGUCUAAAUAUCAAGUCAAAGGGAUUCUCAGGCUCCCUCUGGACACCU